rnacentral:misc_RNA from 1 species
GAUGAAGAACGUAGCGAAAUGCGAUAAGUAGUGUGAAUUGCAGAAUUCAGUGAAUCAUCGAAUCUUUGAACGCACAUUGCGCCCGCCAGUAUUCUGGCGGGCAUGCCUGUUCGAGCGUCAUUUCAACCAUCAAGCCCCAGGCUUGUGUUGGAGCCCUGCGGCUGCCGCAGCCUCCCAAAACCAGUGGCGGGCUCGCUAUCACACCGAGUGCAGUAGUUUACUCUUCGCUCAGGGCGUGUGGCGGGUGCUAGCCGUAAAACCCCCAACUUCUCAAGGUUGACCUCGGAUCAGGUAGGAAUACCCGCUGAACUUAAGCAUAUCAAUAAGCGGAGGA